rnacentral:rRNA from 1 species
AUUGAACGCUGGCGGCAGGCUUAACACAUGCGAGUCGAGCGGAGUGAUGGUGCUUGCACUAUCACUUAGCGGCGGACGGGUGAGUAAUGCUUAGGAAUCUGCCAUUUAGUGGGGGACAACAUUCCGAAAGGAAUGCUAAUACCGCAUACGUCCUACGGGAGAAAGCAGGGGAUCUUCGGACCUUGCGCUAAAUGAUGAGCCUAAGUCGGAUUAGCUAGUUGGUGGGGUAAAGGCCUACCAAGGCGACGAUCUGUAGCGGGUCUGAGAGGAUGAUCCGCCACACUGGGACUGAGACACGGCCCAGACUCCUACGGGAGGCAGCAGUGGGGAAUAUUGGACAAUGGGCGGAAGCCUGAUCCAGCCAUGCCGCGUGUGUGAAGAAGGCCUUUUGGUUGUAAAGCACUUUAAGCGAGGAGGAGGCUACUAGUACUAAUACUACUGGAUAGUGGACGUUACUCGCAGAAUAAGCACCGGCUACCUCUGUGCCAGCCGCCGCCGUAACAC